AAAUAUUUGCUCACAUUUUCACUAAUUGGGUGCUCUGUAACAUUCCAAACCUGUAUGGAUGCGAUGCUGCCUCAGUGUCAGCAAUUGGGGCACCACAGGUAAGAUCCUGAAUGGGAGACCCUGGAAGUAGCCAGAAGCAAACAUAAAGGUGAAAUCUAGGUUGUCCUCUCUGGCCAGAGAGGAAUCUGAGUUGCAUUGCUCAGCUUCAGGAUGUCUCUGCAUUUUUGCCAGUUACUAUCUAGCUUUAAAUAAGACAAAAAAUAGUUGAUCCUUUUCCCACAGAUCCCAGGAACUUUGCAAUCUCUUCUCAGCUGUGGUGUGACUCCCCCUAUCAACAUUCUCCCUGCAGGAUAUCCUAUGGUCAGAGGGAAGCUCUUCCCUGGGAAGGGAACUUGAACCCAUCCAGAGCAGGAACUGAAGGGAGCCCAACAUCUCUUGCUUUCCAGGACUUAAGUGCUAAGCUCAUGUGAGCUGUGCCUGCACUAACAGAACUGCAAGACUCAGUGCAGGAGAAGCAAUCAAGGAUGGAGUGACAACAAAAGCACCAGAUGCCACUGAUGCCUCUUCCACACUUCAGGCAUCAUAGCAGAACAAAGAACCCUUCUGACUCCAGGUUUUCCUAGUAAAGACACAUUUGAAGAGGCACAGCCACUCUCCUAAGAGAUAAAAAUAAAAUGCUGAUACAUUCUAUUGUCAAGUAAGUCUGUAAGAUCAGAAUUGCACAGUGUUAGGGUAUUUUGCUCCAGUUAUACAGUCUAGAUCACAUUCAACUGUCCAUUUAGCCUAGCACAAAUCUCAUUUAAUUAAUCCUCAGGGUAAGUUCCUUUCAAACAACUUCUUAAAUGCUAAUGAAGGCCCAUAAUUUAAUCUUCUGUCCCUCCAUUUAUAAAGUGAUUUUUACAUAUCAUUGAAAGACAGCACUUGGAAACUAACAGUCCACUGCAAAGACUUCCACUGAGAAAACAAGGUGAAAAAAAUAGUCCUGUCCCCAAAUACAGAAAUUGUACAAAAAAAUAAAAAGGCCAAAUAAAGGUUUGUAACAAAUUUUACUUAUAGAAAAGCAUCAUUUUAGCAUAAUUUCACAAUAAAAAAGCAAGAUCUGUUGGACAUUAUAAAGACAUGGUGUAUCAAUUCAGAAUGCAACAGGUAAAGCACACCAUAAUACUCAGUGUAAAAGGUUUGAGAUACACUACUGUAUUUAGCCAGUUACUCCUGGUGCCUCUUUGUAGAUAUUUUCUUAAUUACAGGAUAUUUUUUAUCUGCUUCAUACAUGUCAGAAGUAUAUUUUGGAAUAUAAAAACAUGGAAGUGUUAAAAUACACUGAAACAUGCCAGAAAAAUCAAA